rnacentral:rRNA from 1 species
ACGAACGCUGGCGGCGUGCUUAACACAUGCAAGUCGAACGGAAAGGCCCUGCUUUUGUGGGGUGCUCGAGUGGCGAACGGGGGAGUAACACGUGAGUAACCUGCCCUUGACUUUGGGAUAACUUCAGGAAACUGGGGCUAAUACCGGAUAGGAGCUCCUGCUGCAUGGUGGGGGUUGGAAAGAUUCGGCGGUUGGGGAUGGACUCGCGGCUUAUCAGCUUGUUGGUGGGGUAGUGGCUUACCAAGGCUUUGACGGGUAGCCGGCCUGAGAGGGUGACCGGCCACAUUGGGACUGAGGUACGGCCCAGACUCCUACGGGAGGCAGCAGUGGGGAAUAUUGCACAAUGGGCGGAAGCCUGAUGCAGCAACGCCGCGUGCGGGAUGACGGCCUUCGGGUUGUAAACCGCUUUCGCCUGUGACGAAGCGUGAGUGACGGUAAUGGGUAAAGAAGCACCGGCUAACUACGUG